rnacentral:lncRNA from 1 species
UCAAUAAUUGUAAGCACGGUCUAACAGUAACAGGAUAGUUAAUAGGAUAGACCUGUUAGACCGUGAUUACCCAUCCCCAGCAAAGUCUACCUGCAGGAGGAAAGGUCAGUUUGCAUUUCCUUCACUAUCGAAGGUCACGUAGAUCAUUAGCAGGUACGACAGCCGCAAGGCUUAAGAGGUGGAGGGAUGAAACAAAAUCGUAUAAAAGGAGAAAGAAAACGCGAUUGGAAUCAGUCGAGUGAGCAUCUCCGACACGGCAACAAAUGCUGCAGCGCACUAUUUGCCACCAACUGCCUUCUUCAUCGUGUUACCAGUUCGCAAUCAUGGGCGUCGUGCUGCUGUUGGGUGUUGUACCAUUGAUGGCUGGUUUAUUUUCUCCUGGCGAGAUAUCGGGUCCCUUCAUAAAGCAACAACGAAGAAAUCAGGCGAAUGAUCAUAGUCUCAGACACGGCAACAACUGCUUUCUUUGUCGUGUUAAAACAAUUCGCAAUCAUAGUUAACUAAGAUGUCGUGCUGCUGUUGGGUGUUCUAUCUUUGUUGGCUGGGACCACCACUGGUGUACCGGUGUUUCCUGGGUAUGGUGGAUACCAAACCGCAACGCCGCCACCUUCCUAAACAACAUUACCACAACAUGCGCAGCAACCGUGUACUACACCAUCAAGGUUCCAGAGUAUUACACCAAAACUUCUUAUGUUCCGAGCUACUACACCCAAGCCACGAAUUAACUAAGGCGUCGUAGUGCUGUUGGGUGUUGUACCGUUGAUGGCUGGUUACUGUGCCCCUGGCGAGAUAUAGGGUCCCUUCAUAAAGCAACAACGAAGAAAUGAAUCGGGUGAUCAUCUCCGACACGGCAACAACUGCUUUCUUUGUCGUUUUAAAACAAUU